UACGUAGGGCGCGAGCGUUGUCCGGAAUUAUUGGGCGUAAAGAGCUCGUAGGCGGCCUGUUGCGUCCGCUGUGAAAUCCCGGGGCUUAACCCCGGGUCUGCAGUGGAUACGGGCAGGCUGGAGGCAGGCAGGGGAGAACGGAAUUCCCGGUGUAGCGGUGGAAAUGCGCAGAUAUCGGGAGGAACACCGGUGGCGAAGGCGGUUCUCUGGGCCUGUACUGACGCUGAGGAGCGAAAGCGUGGGGAGCGAACAGG
rnacentral:rRNA from 1 species